GGGAUGGACUAGAUGACCUUUAGAGGUCCCUUCCAACCCAAACCAUUCUACGAUUCUGUAAGUUGUUCAAAUGCUUCCUAGCCAAAACUAAGAAGUUUAACUUAAAACAUGGUAAAAGAUUCUUUACCAGCCUGCAAUGAUUUGCUGGAGCUGGUCUCAGUCUGCAGAGUUUUCUCUGAAACUGACUGCUGAGGAAAACCCCACUUCCCUGCUAGAAACACAGAAAACCCACCAAAGCCCACAGCACACUCUGUAACUAGGGAGCUCUCAGGCACUUGAAGGUGCCUGAAGCUUUGGGUGCGAAGCUUCAGUGGCUCCAGGCAGGUGCUCCAUGCUGCAGGAGUGGUAGGGGGAGCACCCGUAACUCCUCAACUUCUGUUUGCCACCGAAGGACACAGGGAAAUGUUUGGUGUAACCAGUCUUAUCCCCUUGCUUUAACUUCUAUGAAGCAAAGCAAGCUGUUGGUGAUAACCUGGCGAUGCAUGUGGUUAAUCUGCAGAGACAACUGAAAAGAUUUCUAGGAAGAAAAAAAAAAAAGGAAGAGGGUAACAACCUUAUUGAUCUUCUUCGAGGGACUUUAGCCUUGCAUCAAGGCUGAAGUAAAAUUUAACUUGGAAGCAAGUUUUUAUUUAAGGAAGCUAUAUGUGUGAAGUUGGAACUGCUCACAAAGAUAAGUUUUCUACCUGUGUUCACAUUUAAAAACCUUAUUCUUAACUCAUUUUUCCUUAUGGUGCACUUUCCAAAAAUACAAUUUUAGAAGCGUGACUCAGGAUUAAGGAAAGAACAGAACUAGUGGACACCGACCUCUUUUGUACUUGUGAAUUACAUGAGCCAGCAGGUUAGAGAUUUUUUUUUAAUCUCCAUUUAGCACAUGAGUGAUGUGCACUUAGCAACUGCUUAAACUUGCUAUUUUAUACCUGAUUCUAAACUUAUUGCGUGUUCCUCAAACUCUCCUUUGAUCUUACCUUUAUUAAUUUCCUGUGGUUUUCUUGAUGCUCAUCGCUGCAGUAUGAGAGAAGCAUGAACAUUCAUUGUAAUACUUUAGACAACAUGGAAUUUCACACUUGUGGUACUUGAGUGGAAAUAUUUUAACCUUUGGAGUACAAAGGAUUUGAUUUUUUCAGAGUAGAGUCUUACAAGCUUUAUGACAACUUCUGUAGAAGCUCAUCCCCCCCAUACAUUGGCUUGAGCUGUGGGUGAACGCUCAGUAUUUCUGUGUUUUGGGAUGCUGGGUCUGAAAUCAGACACUUGGAUUAGCAUCACACAGUCAUCCUGCAAAAGGCAAGAGGGGAUUUUAGUUGUCUGGAGUGACGUUCAAUUAUGUAAACAUGAAGUGCUAUCUUUUCUUUCUUCAAUCUUGUUUUUCUUGUGUAUCUCCCAAAUUCUACACAAAUGAGGCACAAUACAUUCAGGAAGAAGACUUUUCUUCAGAACUCUCACACAUCCUCAGAGGAGUUUCUAGCAGUUUAACAAAUAAAAUGGAAGAUACUUGGAAAAACUAGAAAGAGCAGUCAAUAAACCGAGCUGGCAUUAUUCAAGAGGAUAUUCAGCCUGCAGGGUUAAAAGUGUGGUCUGAUCCAUUUGGAAGAAAGUAAUGUUGCCAGCUGGGUGUAUUGCAAGGCAAAACUGCAGAUGGACAUCUUCAGCUGUUUCUUCUUUCACUGAAGUGUGUCUUUGGGUGUCGCUGGAGAAGAAUUCUGAAUAUGCUGUGUGGGCACGUGAGGAGCAACAAACGCUACUGGUUGGAAUCCCAAGAGAUGAAAACAUGCUAGUUUUGACAGAGGAUGCUGGGGUGUAGUGCACAGACUCUUAGCUGAAUGAUUCUUUAGUUUGGAAGUGAAAUAUUUAUUUCCUUGAGAAAAGGGAAGAGGAAUUAUUUUUGUGGUUAAUCUGUAAACACUUGUAGAAUAAAUUAUGAAUAGAAUAAAUUGUGCAGACCGCUGCAGUUUCCUCCCUAACCUGAGAAUUACUUUUUGUGGUUUUAUUAUGAAAACAUGACAGAAGUAUAUACUGAGAGAGAUCAGUGCAGAAAAUAAAGAUGGUGAGUGUAAAUUUGUACAUUAAAAUUUAUUCUUUUUAAACAACGUGUAUUAUUUUCAUUUGUUUUGCAGUUAGUUGUGGCUGGUUAGCCUUGGCCAGCUGCCAGGUGCCCACUUAGCCACUGCCUUGCUCCUGCUCCUCAACAGGACAGGGGGAGAAAAUAGGAUGACAAAGCUCGUGGGUCUGGAUAAACAUAGGGACGUUGUUUACCAGUUACUAUUGCAGGCAAAACAGACUCAACUUGGGGAAAAUUAAUGUAGUUUA